AUGACUCACAAAUCAACCAUACUCACUUCUUGUUUCGUAUAUCUGAGCAAAGUUUCUCUUUUCAUAUUUUGCAAAUGUCCGAGACAAAUAUGAAAUUCUGCAAUAGUUAUUUUCUGGUCGAUCCGACCAAAGCAAGUCUUUUUGAUCUUCUUCUCCUUUUAUUUUUCCCAAAUCUGAUCAGCAAAAGCUUCAUAGAUUCUACAUCAGAUACGCUGAAAACCGUCCGGACAAGUUUCGCUAGUCGAUGGAUCAUUGCGUUGGCCGUUUUGGUUCAAAAAAUAUUAAUAUUCGUCAGAAAACCCAUGGCAUUCAUAGGACGUUUGCUCACCUAUUGGCCCAAUCUUCUUUCGGAAAAUGGUGGCUUCUUCAAGUUGAUACUUCAUCUUGUGACAGGAAAACUGGUGAAGCCUGAGGAAUCGUCAACCACAUAUACUUCGUUUAUAGGAUGCUCAGAUCGAAGAGUAGAGCUGGACGAGAAAAUAAAUGUUGCUACCAUCGAAUACAAGUCGAUGUUGUCAAUAAUGGCAUCUAAAAUCGCUUAUGAGAACAAAUCUUUCAUCACUUCCGUUGUCAGGAAUACUUGGAAGAUGGAGUUCGUGGAUUUCUACGACUUUUACAACGCUUACCAAGAAAGAAACCUGACACAAGCCUUCGUAUUCAAGGCGUCGAGCACAAACCCGAAUCUCAUCGUCGUCAGUUUCAGAGGAACCGAGCCUUUCGAUGCAGAUGAUUGGUGCACUGAUCUCGACGUCUCUUGGUACGAAAUGAAGAACGUUGGCAAAAUUCAUGCUGGGUUCUCCAGAGCUCUAGGCCUACAAAAAAACGGAUGGCCCAAAGAAAAUAUAAGUCUCAUACACCAAUAUGCUUACUAUACUAUCAGACAGAAGCUUAGGGACAUGCUUGCCAUAGACAAAAACUCUAAAUUUAUCUUGACGGGUCACAGCCUUGGUGGCGCAAUAGCUGCUCUGUUUCCAGCGAUUCUUGCGGUUCACGGUGAAGAUGAGCUACUUGAUAAGCUAGAGGGAGUCUACACGUUUGGACAGCCACGUAUAGGGGACGAGCAAUUUGGGGAGUAUAUGAAGGAAGUGGUAAGAAAGCAUGGAAUUAAGUAUGAGAGGUUUGUUUACAACAAUGAUAUCGUUCCUAGAGUCCCCUUCGAUGACAAGAUUUUAUUCUCAUACAAGCACUAUGGAUCUUGCAAUUACUUCAACAGUCUCUACAAAGGAAAGGUAAAGGAAGAUGCACCGAAUGCGAACUACAUCAACUUGUUGUGGUUAAUACCGACGAUUUUAACUGGUGCGUGGGAGUUUAUAAGGAGUUUCAUAAUACAGUUCUGGAAAGGCAAAGAGUACAAAGAGAAUUGGAUGAUGAGAUCGCUUCGGAUUGUGGGAAUAGUACUCCCUGGUAUGUCUAAUCAUUUCCCAUUUGAUUAUGUCAACUCCACGCGCUUGGGAGGCUUGGCCCGACCAUGUACUACUCCUGAAGAUAAAAUUGCACUCAUUGCUUAAAAAAAGAAAAAAAUUAAACCACACUCAAUAUCUAAUAAUCCUAUCUACUAUGUCUGCUCUUGUUGGAUUCGACUCUCAUUGUACUUCUAUGUUAUGUUUAUGUUCGGCUUUCUAUCUAAUUGGGAAGAUUCUGAACUUAUUAAUAAGAAUGGUUUUAAUAAGAUUUAUUUGUUUGAAUAUAUUGUAUUUAAUGUUGGUUAACUUAGAUUUAGUUUAUUGUAUAUUGUAUUGAAACAUUUGCGUAGGCAUGGGCAUUCGGGGUUCCAAUCGGGUUUCGGAUUAGUCCAAUCGGCUUUUGGUUUUUUGGGUUUAUCAAAAUUAGCUCCAUUCGGGUUAUAUGAAAAUUCAGUUCGGGACCGGUUCGGGUUGGGUUUAGUAAAUCUUCAAAGAACCGAUACAACCGGAUGUACUUUGGGGUUCGGGUCCCAAUUGGUUCUUCGGUUUAAAUGUACCUGAUUUAUAUCUACUUUGUAACCAAAAAGUAUGUAAAAUCGGUUUUUUUGGUUUUAAAAUACUUGAUUUGUAACUAUUUUGUAACCAAAACAUAAAUAAAAUCGGUUAAAAAAAAGGAACAUCAAAUGUGAUCAUCAAAAUCAAUUGAAAGGUAAACAUAGUUAUUGAUCGAAAGAAAACCAAAUAAAUGAAAGCAUAAAACGAAAACCAAGUUCUCAUGUAAUGAAAAACAUUAUUCAAUGAAAACAAAACCCAAAUCUAAACUCUUCAACCUUCAACCGCCACCUUCAACCAUCAAUUUUCAUAUAAUAGAUAAUUAUUUUAGAUGUUCAAUAUAUUUUGAAUACAUAUUAGGAAUUGAGAUCAUGUUUGGUACAAGUUCUUUAUGGAAAUUUUGAAUGUUUCGGAUUCUAUCGGGUAUCCAUUUAGGUUCG